CGGAGGCAGCAGUGAGGAAUAUUGCACAAUGGGCGAAAGCCUGAUGCAGCGACGCCGCGUGAGGGAUGACGGCCUUCGGGUUGUAAACCUCUUUCAGUAGGGAAGAAGCGAAAGUGACGGUACCUGCAGAAGAAGCGCCGGCUAACUACGUGCCAGCAGCCGCGGUAAUACGUAGGGCGCAAGCGUUAUCCGGAAUUAUUGGGCGUAAAGAGCUCGUAGGCGGUUUGUCGCGUCUAUCGUGAAAGUCCGAGGCUCAACCUCGGAUCUGCGGUGGGUACGGGCAGACUAGAGUGAUGUAGGGGAGACUGGAAUUCCUGGUGUAGCGGUGAAAUGCGCAGAUAUCAGGAGGAACACCGAUGGCGAAGGCAGGUCUCUGGGCAUUAACUGACGCUGAGGAGCGAAAGCAUGGGGAGCGAACAGGAUUAGAUACCCCCGUA
rnacentral:rRNA from 1 species